CUAUGAUGGAUGAAGGCCUUUCAUUUUGGCUCUGUAGGGCUAUCCAUAAGAUCAUUUGGCGAGGUUCAGCCCUCAGCGUGGG
rnacentral:tRNA from 10 species